AUUGAACGCUGGCGGCAGGCCUAACACAUGCAAGUCGAACGGUAACAGGAAGAAGCUUGCUUCUUUGCUGACGAGUGGCGGACGGGUGAGUAAUGUCUGGGAAACUGCCUGAUGGAGGGGGAUAACUACUGGAAACGGUAGCUAAUACCGCAUAACGUCGCAAGACCAAAAAGGGGGACCUUCGGGCCUCUUGCCAUCGGAUGUGCCCAGAUGGGAUUAGCUAGUAGGUGGGGUAACGGCUCACCUAGGCGACGAACCCUAGCUGGUCUGAGAGGAUGACCAGCCACACUGGAACUGAGACACGGUUCAGACUCCUACGGGAGGCAGCAGUGGGGAAUAUUGCACAAUGGGCGCAAGCCUGAUGCAGCCAUGCCGCGUGUAUGAAGAAGGCCUUCGGGUUGUAAAGUACUUUCAGCGGGGAGGAAGGGAGUAAAGUUAAUACCUUUGCUCAUUGACGUUACCCGCAGAAGAAGCACCGGCUAACUCCGUG
rnacentral:rRNA from 1 species